CCAGCAGACUCCUUAUUUUCCAGAUGAGGGGUUGUGUCCCUGCGUGGGGAUGAGGCCUGGUCUAACGGAAAGUGGACUUAGCUUCGCUGGGCACACAGCUGUGGCCCACGGUGGUAUGUAAC
rnacentral:lncRNA from 1 species